UGGGGAAUUUUGGACAAUGGGCGCAAGCCUGAUCCAGCAAUGCCGCGUGCAGGAUGAAGGCCUUCGGGUUGUAAACUGCUUUUGUACGGAACGAAACGGCUCUGGUUAAUACCUGGGGCUGAUGACGGUACCGUAAGAAUAAGCACCGGCUAACUACGUGCCAGCAGCCGCGGUAAUACGUAGGGUGCAAGCGUUAAUCGGAAUUACUGGGCGUAAAGCGUGCGCAGGCGGUGAUGUAAGGCAGGUGUGAAAUCCCCGGGCUUAACCUGGGAAUUGCAUUUGUGACUGCAUCGCUGGAGUGCGGCAGAGGGGGAUGGAAUUCCGCGUGUAGCAGUGAAAUGCGUAGAUAUGCGGAGGAACACCGAUGGCGAAGGCAAUCCCCCGGGCCUGCACUGACGCUCAUGCACGAAAGCGUGGGGAGCAAACA
rnacentral:rRNA from 1 species